rnacentral:rRNA from 1 species
GAAACUGCGAAUGGCUCAUUAAAACAGUUAUCGUUUCUUUGAUAGUCAGUACUACAUGGAUAACUGUGGUAAUUCUAGAGCUAAUACAUGCGUAAGGCCUCCGCAAGGAGGUUGCGUUUAUUAGAUACAAACCAACCAGGUGCAAACCUGAGCCUUUGGUGAUUCAUAAUAACCUAGCGAAUCGCAUGGACUUGUUCCGGCGAUAGAUCAUUCAAGUUUCUGACCUAUCAGCUAUUGACGGUAGGGUAUUGGCCUACCGUGGCAGUGACGGGUAACGGGGGAUUAGGGUUCGGUUCCGGAGAGGGAGCCUGAGAAACGGCUACCACAUCUAAGGAUGGCAGCAGGCGCGCAAAUUACCCACUCCUGACACAGGGAGGUAGUGACAAGAAAUAACAAUGUGAGGCUUCAAUGUCUCGCAAUUGGAAUGAGUAGAUGUUAAAUCUCUCUACAAGUAUCAAUUGGAGGGCAAGUCUGGUGCCAGCAGCCGCGGUAAUUCCAGCUCCAAUAGCGUAUAUUAAAGUUGCUGCGGUUAAAAAGCUCGUAGUUGGAUUUCUGCUGAGGCGGACCUGCCGGCCUUCGGGUCGCGUCAGUGUUAGCUAAGGCAUCUUCCUGGAGGCGUACACUUAACUGUGCACGCACGCUGGGACCAUUACUUUGAGGAAAUUUGAGUGUUCCAAACAGGCUAUCGCCUUGAAAAUGUCAGCAUGGAAUAAUAAAGUAUGACUUUGGUUUUAUUUUGUUGGUUCAUAGAACUGAAGUAAUGAUUAAUAGGAACGGUCGUGGGCAUUCGUACUCAGCAGUCAGAGGUGAAAUUCUUGGAUUUGCUGGAGACGAACAACUGCGAAAGCAUUUGCCAAGGACGUUUUCAUUGAUCAAGAGCGAAAGUUAGGGGAUCGAAGACGAUUAGAUACCGUCGUAGUCCUAACCAUAAACUAUGCCGACUAGGGAUUGGGGGAUGUCGAUUAAUAGACGCCCUCAGCACCUCGUGAGAAAUCAAAGUCUUUGGGUUCCGGGGGGAGUAUGGUCGCAAGGCUGAAACUUAAAGGAAUUGACGGAAGGGCGCCACCAGGAGUGGAGCCUGCGGCUUAAUUUGACUCAACACGGGAAAACUCACCAGGUCCAGACAUAGUAAGGAUUGACAGAUUGAUAGCUCUUUCUUGAUUCUAUGGGUGGUGGUGCAUGGCCGUUCUUAGUUGGUGGAGUGAUCUGUCUGGUUAAUUCCGUUAACGAACGAGACCUUAGCCUGCUAAAUAGUCUGCGGGAACUUCGGUUCUCUGUAUGCUUCUUAGAGGGACAUCGUGUGACUAACACGAGGAAGUUUGAGGCAAUAACAGGUCUGUGAUGCCCUUAGAUGUCCUGGGCUGCACGCGCGCUACACUGACACGCUCAACAAGUUUGUCCUGGCUCGAGAGGGCUGGGUAAUCUUAUGAAAUCGUGUCGUGAUGGGGAUAGACUAUUGUAAUUAUUAGUCUUCAACGAGGAAUUCCUAGUAAGUGCAAGUCAUCAACUUGCGCUGAUUACGUCCCUGCCCUUUGUACACACCGCCCGUCGACGCUACCGAUUGAGUGAUCCGGUGAGUGAUUUGGACUGUGGUACAGCCUUGAGCUGCUCUGCGGGAAGUUUCGCAAGCCAUAUUACUUAGAGGAAGCGAAAGUCGUAACAAGGUUUCCGUAGGUG